AACGAACGCUGGCGGCAGGCUUAACACAUGCAAGUCGAACGCCCCGCAAGGGGAGUGGCAGACGGGUGAGUAACGCGUGGGAACAUACCCUUUUCUACGGAAUAGCUCUGGGAAACUGGAAUUAAUACCGUAUACGCCCUACGGGGGAAAGAUUUAUCGGGGAAGGAUUGGCCCGCGUUGGAUUAGCUAGUUGGUGGGGUAAAGGCCUACCAAGGCGACGAUCCAUAGCUGGUCUGAGAGGAUGAUCAGCCACAUUGGGACUGAGACACGGCCCAAACUCCUACGGGAGGCAGCAGUGGGGAAUAUUGGACAAUGGGCGCAAGACUGAUCCAGCCAUGCCGCGUGAGUGAUGAAGGCCUUAGGGUUGUAAAGCUCUUUCACCGAUGAAGAUAAUGACGGUAGUCGGAGAAGAAGCCCCGGCUAACUUCGUG
rnacentral:rRNA from 1 species